rnacentral:rRNA from 1 species
AACAACCAGAAAUGGUUGCUAAUACCGCAUAAGCGCACAGGACCGCAUGGUCCGGUGUGAAAAACUCCGGUGGUAUAAGAUGGACCCGCGUUGGAUUAGCUAGUUGGCAGGGUAACAGGCCUACCAAGGCGACGAUCCAUAGCCGGCCUGAGAGGGUGAACGGCCACAUUGGGACUGAGACACGGCCCAGACUCCUACGGGAGGCAGCAGUGGGGAAUAUUGCACAAUGGGGGAAACCCUGAUGCAGCGACGCCGCCGUGAAGGAAGAAGUAUCUCGGUAUGUAAACUUCUAUCAGCAGGGAAGAUAGUGACGGUACCUGACUAAGAAGCCCCGGCUAACUACGUGCCAGCAGCCGCGGUAAUACGUAGGGGGCAAGCGUUAUCCGGAUUUACUGGGUGUAAAGGGAGCGUAGACGGACUGGCAAGUCUGAUGUGAAAGGCGGGGGCUCAACCCCUGGACUGCAUUGGAAACUGUUAGUCUUGAGUGCCGGAGAGGUAAGCGGAAUUCCUAGUGUAGCGGUGAAAUGCGUAGAUAUUAGGAGGAACACCAGUGGCGAAGGCGGCUUACUGGA